UACGUAGGGCGCAAGCGUUGUCCGGAAUUAUUGGGCGUAAAGAGCUCGUAGGCGGUUUGUCGCGUCUGGUGUGAAAACUCAAGGCUCAACCUUGAGCUUGCAUCGGGGUACGGGGCAGACUAGAGUGCGGUAGGGGGUGACUGGAAUUCCUGGUGUAGCGGUGGAAUGCGCAGAUAUCAGGAGGAACACCGAUGGCGAAGGCAGGUCACUGGGCCGCAACUGACGCUGAGGAGCGAAAAGCAUGGGGGAGCGAACAGG
rnacentral:rRNA from 1 species